rnacentral:rRNA from 1 species
AGAGUUUGAUCCUGGCUCAGGAUGAACGCUGGCGGCGUGCCUAAUACAUGCAAGUCGAGCGAACAGAUAAGGAGCUUGCUCCUUUGAAGUUAGCGGCGGACGGGUGAGUAACACGUGGGUAACCUACCUAUAAGACUGGGAUAACUUCGGGAAACCGGAGCUAAUACCGGAUAACAUUUAGAACCGCAUGGUUCUAAAGUGAAAGAUGGUUUUGCUAUCACUUAUAGAUGGACCCGCGCCGUAUUAGCUAGUUGGUAAGGUAACGGCUUACCAAGGCGACGAUACGUAGCCGACCUGAGAGGGUGAUCGGCCACACUGGAACUGAGACACGGUCCAGACUCCUACGGGAGGCAGCAGUAGGGAAUCUUCCGCAAUGGGCGAAAGCCUGACGGAGCAACGCCGCGUGAGUGAUGAAGGGUUUCGGCUCGUAAAACUCUGUUAUUAGGGAAGAACGAAUGUGUAAGUAACUGUGCACAUCUUGACGGUACCUAAUCAGAAAGCCACGGCUAACUACGUG